rnacentral:rRNA from 1 species
CGUAAUAGCUGGUUCUCUCCGAAACAGCUUUAGGGUUGGCGUCGCGUGUUCCCACUGGGGGUAGAGCACUGGAAAGAAAGAACAGGGAGAAAUCUCGUCUUUCUUAUCAAACUCCGAAUACCAGUUGGUUAAGAGCGCGGCAGUUAGACUAUGGGGGCGAAGCUCCAUUGGUCAAAAGGGAAACAGCCCAGACCGCCAGUUAAGGUCCCUAAAUAUAUACUCAGUGCAAAGUGAGGAGGUGAGGAUUCCUCAACAGCCAGGAGGUUGGCUUAGAAGCAGCCAUCCUUUAAAGAUAGCGUAAUAGCUCACUGGUCGAGAGUCCUUGCGCCGAAAAUGAUCGGGGCUCAAGUAUAUUACCGAAACUGCGGAUUCGCACACUUCAUUGAGGAAAAGUAAAUCAACAAACAACAAAAGAGGUUUGUUAUGAGUAAAUUAAGAAGCAAAUUUAACAAAUGGGUGAGUACUCAUCCAUGGCUAGGAGCAUUCAUUUUUGUUCCAGGUAUACCAAUGUUAUUUUUCCUGAUUCUUUUCAGUCUUCCUAAAGUAUAGGAAUUUCCUGAGGAUUCGUCCUCGGGUCCUCAAUGAAGUGUGCGAGUG